GCGGGCUUAGUUAAAUGGUAUAACGCUGGUCUCCAAAACCAGGAUUGGGGGUUCGAUUCCCUCAGCCCGUGCCA
rnacentral:tRNA from 1 species